rnacentral:rRNA from 1 species
GAUGAACGAUGGCGGCGGGCCUAAUACAUGCAAGUCGAGCGAACAGACGAGGAGCUUGCUCCUCUGACGUUAGCGGCGGACGGGUGAGUAACACGUGGAUAACCUACCUAUAAGACUGGGAUAACUUCGGGAAACCGGAGCUAAUACCGGAUAAUAUAUUGAACCGCAUGGUUCAAUAGUGAAAGACGGUUUUGCUGUCACUUAUAGAUGGAUCCGCGCCGCAUUAGCUAGUUGGUAAGGUAACGGCUUACCAAGGCGACGAUGCGUAGCCGACCUGAGAGGGUGAUCGGCCACACUGGAACUGAGACACGGUCCAGACUCCUACGGGAGGCAGCAGUAGGGAAUCUUCCGCAAUGGGCGAAAGCCUGACGGAGCAACGCCGCGUGAGUGAUGAAGGUCUUCGGAUCGUAAAACUCUGUUAUUAGGGAAGAACAAAUGUGUAAGUAACUAUGCACGUCUUGACGGUACCUAAUCAGAAAGCCACGGCUAACUACGUG